AGGCUCAAUUGACUGUUGUUCGGGGGCCUUUGUUUGAUGAAGUGCACCAGGAUUUUAACUCUUGGAUAUCACAGAUUACCAGAGUGUACAAGGGAAAAAACCAUGCUGAAGUUGAGUUCACUGUUGGGCCUAUACCAGCUGAUGAUGGUAUUAGCAAG